rnacentral:rRNA from 1 species
CCUACGGGAGGCUGCAGUGGGGAAUAUUGGGCAAUGGGCGCAAGCCUGACCCAGCAACGCCGCGUGAAGGAGGAAGGCUUUCGGGUUGUAAACUUCUUUUGUCAGGGACGAAGCAAGUGACGGUACCUGACGAAUAAGCCACGGCUAACUACGUGCCAGCAGCCGCGGGAAUACGUAGGUGGCAAGCGUUAUCCGGAUUUACUGGGGGUAAAGGGCGUGUGGGCGGGACUGCAAGUCAGAUGUGAAAACCACGGGCUCAACCUGUGGCCUGCAUUUGAAACUGUGGUUCUUGAGUACUGGAGAGGCAGACGGAAUGCCUAGUGUAGCGGUGAAAUGCGUAGAUAUUAGGCGGAACACCAGUGGCGAAGGCGGUCUGCUGGACAGCAACUGACGCUGAGGCGCGAAAGCGUGGGGAGCAAACAGGAUUAGAUACCCCAGUAGUC